rnacentral:rRNA from 1 species
GAUGAACGCUGGCGGUGUGCCUUAAGCAUGCAAGUCGAACGAUAAUGUACCUUCGGGUACAGGACAGUGGCAGACGGGUGAGUAACACGUAGGAAUCUACCUUAAAGUGGGGGAUAGCUCAGCGAAAGUUGGGGUAAUACCGCAUGUGACCGCAAGGUCAAAGCAGCAAUGCGCUUUUAGAGGAGCCUGCGCGCUAUCAGCUAGUUGGUGGGGUAAUGGCCUACCAAGGCGACGACGGCUAGCCGAUGUGAGAGCAUGAUCGGCCACAAGGCUACUGAGACACGGAGCCUACACCUACGGGUGGCAGCAACUGGGAAUAUUGCGCAAUGGGCGAAAGCCUGACGCAGCGACACCGCGUGUGGGAAGACGUUCUUCGGAAUGUAAACCACUGUGGCGAGGGAGAAAAUUUUGAUAGUACCUCGCUAGAAAGCACCAGCUAACUACGUGCCAGAAGCUUCGGUAAUACGUAGGGUGCGAGCGUUAUCCGGAUUUACUGGGCGUAAAGCGUCCGUCGGCGUCUUGACAAGUUGCUUGUUCAAGCCUGGGGCUCAACUCCAGAAAGGCAAGCAAAACUGUCAGGAUAGAGUUUGUUCGAGGAAGUUGGAAUUCUCGGUGGAGGGGUGAAAUCCGUAGAUAUCGAGAGGAACGCCGCGCGUGAAGACAGACUUCUAGGACACAACUGACGCUCAGGGACGACAGCUUGGGGAGCAAAAGGGAUUAGAGACCCCUGUAGUCCAAGCCGUAAACACUGCUUGCUAGUUAUUCGUCUUUUUAAGAUGGGUGACGUAAGUUAACACGUUAAGCAAGCCGCCUGGGGAGUACGACCGCAAGGUUAAAACUCAAAGGAAUUGGCGGGGGAGCGCACAACCGGUGGAGCAUGUGGUUUAAUUCGAUACGAAGCGAAAAACCUUACCCGGGUUUGAAAUGUAUCUGCAAAGCUUGGGAAACCAAGCCUUCUUCGAGAGUGAUACACAGGUGAUGCAUGGCUGUCGUCAGCUCGUGCCGUGAGGCGUCGGCUUAAGUGCCGUAACGAGCGCAACCCUUGUCGCAUGUUACACGUAUCAUGCGAGACUGCUCUGCUUUUGGCAGGGAGGAAGGAGAGGAUGAUGUCAAGUCAGCACGUCCCUUACAUCCGGGGCUACACACAUCCUACAAUGGAGCCGACAACGGGUCGCGAUGGGGUAACCCUGAGCUAAUCCUAAUAAACGGCUCCUCAGUUCAGAUUGAGGGCUGAAAUUCGCCCUCAUGAAGCCGGAAUCGGUAGUAAUCGCAAAUCAGCAGGUUGCGGUGAAUACGUUCUCGCUCCUUGCACACACUGCCCGUCAAGCCAGCAAAGUCAGCAAUGCCCGAAGCGGAUGACCCUAACUCGCAAGAGGGGGGCUCUUCUACGGCAAGGUUGGCGAUGAGGACU